UCACAACCAGUCCACACUGACUCGAUUCCUUCGAAUCGCCGGCGACGACUAAACCGCCCGCCGCCGCCACCAUUGGGAGGCGAUCCCGGGGCAGGAAGCUUCCUUUCUUCAAGCGCCGGCCUCUUCAAGGGUCUCCGCGCGAGUCCAUCCUUGCACCAGUCCCCCAUCAGAGCCCCCUCCGAAGAUGUCGCACCCGCCACAGACGACACUGCCCCACCUCCUCCUUCUGGUCCCUCGCCGCCCCUCCCGCUCCGCCUGCCUUGGACAUUCCAAGGACUGCUGCCGACGCUGAGGUGCGGUCGAUAGAGGAGGCGGCGGCGAUGCGGCACCGGCCGAUGGCGGUCGUUGCAACUGGAGGAGCGGAUGGGGACGCUUUCAACGAGUGCCAGUCGCGGCUCGCCGCGCUUAGGGACGCCAAUCUGGGCCUCCGUAAGGAUACUAUUCGCGGUGGGAAAAGGUCGGCGACGGAGGCCUUGGUGCCGGAGCAGUUUCUCUGCCCCAUCUCGUCCGAGAUCAUGAGGGAUCCUGUCGUCCUUUUGUUUGGCAAGGAGGGCUCGCUCAGGGUCAUCUUCUUCUGCAUUCGCGCUGACCUGCCUCGGGAACCUUGGUAACAUGUGCAACCGGAGCUCCACAAGGACAGGUGCUACACGAACCAUCUGAAGUGAAACUUUGAUGCCAUGCUUGCUGUGUCUUUGAUCACAGUACUGCUUAUUGCUCUAGUUGGUAGAUGAGGGACCAUGCAAUUCAGAUUUCUUUACAGAAUGUACAUGCCACUUUUUCUUGUCUCAAUUUUGUCACUAGGUUGAGCUUAGAGAGAGCAAGUGACUUCAGCAUCGCCGCUUCCCUAGUAUUCACUCCCAAGUAUAGCAAUGUGUAGCAAGCUUACUGCUCAUAGAGCUGAUUUGACUCCCAAGUGCUACUUACCUAUGCUAGUUAAAAAAAAUGUCAGCUAAUUCUAAGUGUUUGCGGAGAAGUUAGAACCCAAAAUAAAUAAAAUUUUCUUAGUUGUGCUGUUGAGGUUGAUGGUACUACAUAAACCAAACGAAUCUGAAAAAUAUUCAACUAAGUUGAGUUUACUGGAACAUAAGUAGUUAGCUAGGUAAUAUUAGUUGGUUUGAACCAAUAAUGACAUGAUAUAUAUGGUCAGCUGAGUACUAAAUUGAGUGCUAUAAAUUUUCAUAGGUAAAACUAAUUCUAAGAUAUAUUGUGUUCGGGAGCUUCAAGAAAUACUUAAAAAACACUUGAUGUCAUGAGUGAAGGUCCAGAGCAUGUCGACCAAAUGAUGCGAGCUGUUAAAGGGUGAAAGAAAUUUUAUUGUACAUUAUCAGGAAUGGUCCACCCUCAUAUGAUAGUUAUGAUUAUGAUGGCAUGAGUGAAAAGGCUUUUGGAAAGGAUCAGUUGAACGCAGAUCCAUGGGGGUGGCUGACGACUGGGACAUGGGAUAAGAUGGCUCAUCACCAUGGACGGAGCAACCUGAAGUGAACACUCAAAAGAAGGCAUUGGAUUUUAGCAGCGCCGACGAGCACACGAGGGCAUAGUCUCUAAUCUUGUUUACAAAAACUGUAGUUCAACCACUCAUAUAUGGUUUCAUCUUUGUUCAGUUACCCUACGCAGUAUUCUCUCCUCUUAUUUAUGUGAUUGCAGAUGAUAUAUGCAUGGGUGCUAUUUUUUAUUUUUAUUUUAAGAAAAGUGGGUGCUAAUGGUUUAAACUUCGAGAGCAGGUGAAUGCUAGAUUGUUUUCUUAACAUCUAUGUCUGGCAUGUAUUUUUCGUUCUCUUAUUUGGAAGGUGUCUCCAAUGUAUUGGCCUAUUUUCAUCAGAACUCUGGAACUCAACCGCAUAUAUGUCACACUUGGAAUUACAGUAUAUAUGGGACUA